rnacentral:rRNA from 1 species
UACAGAGGGUGCGAGCGUUGUUCGGAAUUAUUGGGCGUAAAGCGCUUGUAGGCGGUCGGCUAAGUCUCAUGUGAAAUCCCUUGGCUCAACCAAGGAAGUGCACGAGAUACUGACUGACUUGAGUGCCGGAGAGGGUCGCGGAAUUCCCGGUGUAGAGGUGAAAUUCGUAGAUAUCGGGAGGAACACCAGUGGCGAAGGCGGCGACCUGGACGGACACUGACGCUGAGACGCGAAAGCGUGGGGAG